AGCGAACGCUGGCGGCGUGCUUAACACAUGCAAGUCGAACGUGAAAUGUAGCAAUACAGAGUAAAGUGGCGUACGGGUGAGUAACACGUGGGUAAUUUUCCAAAGAGUUUGGAAUAACCGGCCGAAAGGCUGGCUAAUACUGGAUAGAUCAAGCGCCCUGUAGAGGUGCGAUUGGGAAAGGGAGCGGGUAACCGCCUUCGCUUUUUGAUGAGCCCGCGUUUGAUUAGUUAGUUGGUGAGGUAACGGCUCACCCAGACGAUGAUCAGUAGCUGGUUUGAGAGGAUGAUCAGCCCCCCUGGAACUGAAACCCGGUCCCGACUCCUACGGGAGGCAGCAGUGGGGAAUUUUGCGCAAUGGACGAAAGUUUGACGCAGCCCCGCCGCGUGAGUGAAGAAGGCCUUCGGGUUGUAAAGCUUUGUUGGAAGGGACAAAAACGUUUCGGGUUAAUAGCCCGAGAUCUUGAUGGUACCUUUAAAGGAAGCCCCGGCUAACUUCGUG
rnacentral:rRNA from 1 species